rnacentral:rRNA from 1 species
GAUAAACGCUGGCGGCAUGCCUAAUACAUGCAAGUCGAACGCACCAGCAAUGGUGAGUGGCGAACGGGUGCGUAACGCGUUGGUGACCUGCCCCGAAGUGUGGGAUAACAGUUCGAAAGGACUGCUAAUACCGCAUGUGGUCAUUGGGUUUAGAAGCCAAUGACUAAAGCAGUAAUGCGCUUUGGGAGGGACCUGCGUCCCAUCAGCUAGUUGGUAAGGUAAAGGCUUACCAAGGCGAAGACGGGUAGGGGGCCUGAGAGGGUGACCCCCCACACUGGCACUGAAACACGGGCCAGACACCUACGGGUGGCUG